CGUAGCCACGGUAAUACAGAGGGUGCGAGCGUUAAUCGGAUUUACUGGGCGUAAAGCGUGCGUAGGCGGCUUCUUAAGUCGGAUGUGAAAUCCCUGAGCUUAACUUAGGAAUUGCAUUCGAUACUGGGAAGCUAGAGUAUGGGAGAGGAUGGUAGAAUUCCAGGUGUAGCGGUGAAAUGCGUAGAGAUCUGGAGGAAUACCGAUGGCGAAGGCAGCCAUAUGGCCUAAUACUGACGCUGAGGUACGAAAGCAUGGGGAGCAAACAGGAUUAGAUACCCCUGUAGUCCCUGUCUCUUAUACA
rnacentral:rRNA from 1 species